AGCUUGUCUAAGUCGAGCGGGCAAUGUUCUUUCUGGUUAUGCAUCAAAAGGAAAAUUAGUUUAUGGGUUUUAUCGCAUACAAAUAUUAGACAUGUAUUAGUAGUAACAAAAUAAUAGUUAUAAAAAUAAAAAUAAAAUAAAUAAAUAAUUAAAAUUAAAAAAUUUAGUUGCGAAGCAACAAAAUUUUAACUAAAAUAAAA
rnacentral:lncRNA from 1 species